CUUUGGCCGUGAUGAUUAAUUUUACAGCUUUAUGCCAAUUCUGCUUCAGAAAAUUCGUGAUAGAGAGAGCUGUCUUAUAAAAAAAAAUAAAU